GCGACCCCAGGUCAGGCGGGACUACCCGCUGAGUUUAAGCAUAUCAAUAAGCGGAGGAAAAGAAACUUACCAGGAUUCC
rnacentral:rRNA from 1 species